CGAGACGGGUGAGUAUGCAUAGGAAUCUACCUUCGUAGUAUGGGAUUAGCCACUUAGAAAUGGUGGGUAAUACUCGUAUAAUCCCUGCGGGGGAAAGAUUUAUCGCUAUUAGAUGAGCCUAUGUUAGAUUAGCUAGUUGGUAGGGUAAAGGCCUACCAAGGCAGUGAUCUAUAGCUGGUCUGAGAGGAUGAUCAGCCACACUGGAACUGAGAUACGGUCCAGACUCCUACGGGAGGCAGCAGUGGGGAAUAUUGGACAAUGGGCGCAAGCCUGAUCCAGCUAUGCCGCGUGAGUGAGGAAGGCCUUAGGGUUGUAAAACUCUUUCAGUGGGGAAGAUAAUGACGGUACCCACAGAAGAAGCCGGCGCAAACUCAAA
rnacentral:rRNA from 1 species